UACGUAGGGGGCAAGCGUUGUCCGGAUUUAUUGGGCGUAAAGAGCGUGUAGGCGGCUAGGUAGGUCCGUUGUGAAAACUCGAGGCUCAACCUCGAGACGUCGAUGGAAACCAUCUGGCUAGAGUCCGGAAGAGGAGAGUGGAAUUCCUGGUGUAGCGGUGAAAUGCGCAGAUAUCAGGAGGAACACCGGUGGCGAAGGCGGUUCUCUGGGCCUGUACUGACGCUGAGGAACGAAAGCGUGGGGAGCGAACAGG
rnacentral:rRNA from 1 species